CAGCCGCCGCGGUAAUACCAACCCCGCGAGUGGUCGGGACGUUUAUUGGGCCUAAAGCGUCCGUAGCCGGCCCGGUAAGUCCCUCCUUAAAGCCCACGGCUCAACCGUGGGAGCGGAGGGAUACUGCCGGGCUAGGGGGCGGGAGAGGCCGGGGGUACUCCUGGGGUAGGGGCGAAAUCCUAUAAUCCCAGGAGGACCACCAGUAGCGAAGGCGCCCGGCUAGCACGCGCCCGACGGGGAGGGACGAAAGCUGGGGGAGCAAAGGGGAUUAGAUACCCCCGUAGUCCCAGCUGUAAACGAUGCAGGCUAGGUGUUAGGCGGGCUUCGUGCCCGCCUAGUGCCGUAGGGAAGCCGUUAAGCCUGCCGCCUGGGGAGUACGGCCGCAAGGCUGAAACUUAAAGGAAUUGGCGGG
rnacentral:rRNA from 1 species